ACCCAGUUGGGGGGGCAGGAGGGAGCUGGAGGAUGGUUGGUGGUGGGCUUUCUACUUUGCCUUUUCCUCCUCAUGCCGCCUUAGUGAGAUGCGGAAUCUCUGGCAGCAGCUCCGGGGUGGGGAUACGAGCCCUGGAGUAGAAGAGCUGGGUUUGCUUCCGGGCCUAUCCACCAGCUGGCCGAGUGACCUUAGGCAAAUCACUCUGUAAUUUGUCUGCGCCUCAGUUUCCUCCUCUGCCUGUCGUUGUGUGUGGGGUUGAAAGCGCUUUGUAAACUAUAAGGCGUUGGUAUACGUAAAAGAUGAAUAUUGUAAUGUUUUUUGAGUUGUAAGAAAACAACAAUUACCCAUCUGUGGGAUUUUGAACCUGGGAACCUUAGAUUGGAGUUGGAGAUCCCUAAAACUCCCAGAUACUGUAUGCAGAAAAUUUGUGGGAACAUGCAUUUGUAAGGAAUGAUAAUCCACAGCUGGCAAGUUUUCAGAGGGUCCUGUGACCCAGAAGAGUUAAGAUCGAUUCCUGUAUGCCACUUCCUUUAUGCCACGGGGAGGAAACUGAGGCCUAGAUGUCAUUUGGGUUCCUUCACUACCAAUUUGAAGCCCCCCGUGUGAGUCCCUGGGAUAUGUGAGCUGUUUCUAUGCAUAAUGGAUGUUGGGGGUAACAAUAAGCCCUGCUGGCUUCUGUUCUGAAUCCUUUCUUUUCACCAUGGGGUGCCUGAAUGAUGGCUGAUGUAUAUGGUACAAUGGCACCCAAUGUAAAGCAGCUACAAUUAAGGGUGGAUGUGUUCUGUAAUAUCAAGCAUAUUUAAUCUUUGGCCCAGAAGUUCUUUGUUUUUUGCUGUUUAUACUGAUGUCUGACUACGUUUCUUUCAUUGACCAUUUUGCUAUGUUUUCACUUGCUCCUAUUUUGUGUCCCUAGUUUGUGUGUUUGGUAGUGAAUAGGCUUAUUUUUAAAUGGUGCUGCCAUGUACAGCUAAUUAAUGGUGCACAUGGAUUUUUAGCAAGCAGGCUCACUGGAACAGGCAUGGAAUUCCUGAAGAUGUUUUGGAUUUUUUCUUUAUUUGAAGGCUAACAUGCUCUUAAAAGUUCUGUUAAAACUCCUGCUGAACCUCAAAAAUCAGAUUUGGUAGCGAUUUGAAACUUUCCUGGCCUGCCAUGUAUUCUGUUGGUUAUAAGUGUGAUAAGGAGGCAGCCAAAAUGCCAUUUUUUGUUUCUUUGUUAAUUGUCAGCUGCUUUUAUCAAAUUCCAGUCUGUUAUCCAGCAAACACUAAAAAUGUUUGAAUAGUUGGAUUUCAAACAUUUUAACUUUGUGGAGUGGUGCUUACCAAGUGGUACAGCUCUAAGCAAGUGAACAUGAACACUUUUAAGUGUAGUUUGUCUGAUUAGAUGUUAGCCAGUUCUGCUGUUUCAUUCAAAUGUCUGGAAAAAAAAAAAAAAAAAUCAGUUGACUGUUCCUUUACCUAAAGGGCAGAGACAAAUGAUUCACUCCCAGAAAAAAUGACUUUUUUUGAAGAAAACUGUGUUUGUCUUUAGCUCUUUUGUAAUUAAGUCUGGAUGUACCUCAAAAGAAUCUUUAGACUGUGGUGAUAAGAGGCUUUCCUCCAGAGAAAGGGGGAGAAAAACAACUGGAACUCAAAGCUUGAAAUUCUGUAACAAAACAUGAGAUGUCCAGGAUUGGAGGUUGAAAAGGUUUUGCUACAGUGUCCUGCAAUCAUUGAAGCAGAUAACUUUUAGUAGCUGCAGCCAUGGACUCCAGAUUUUCAAGAACUGGACCUGCAACCCAGAAGAGCUUGUCAGGAUGUGGCAGGAAUUCUGGAGGUAGUUUUUUUGGUUUGGUUUGUUUUGUUCUGUUUUUAAUUUGGGGACUGUUGACCUUGCUGUGAGAAAAGAGGCAACUGAGCAAGCACUGCCACCAGCAAUGUUUAUGGGAAUUAGAAGACCUGAGUUUCUCUUCAGAACUUCUGUGCAAACUGAUAACACUCCAUCCAAAGUGGAUUACGAUAGCAAAUCCUUUGAAAAGGACCUUGUUUUAUGCACCUACAUACCACUACCUCUGAUGAAGCAUUUAUUACAAAGGAAGACUUUAGAGAACAGGCUGUCUCAGAAUCAUCCUGUGCCUCCUGAUUGCUGAGUGUUCACCUGGACCUUCUGACCACCUUCCUUCUGCUAGACCAUCAGCCUACAGACCUGGUACCUGGAUUUUUGCUCAUGGUGAUUCCUGCCACUUUACUACUGAAGAAGGCAUCAUUCCAGUGGACACUGUGACCCAAGAGGCAUUCAUCCAUCAUGAUGUGGCCUUUACCUCCACUCCUUUCCUGUUGUACCCAGAGUCAACACAGCCCUUUAUAGUGUAGUCAAGAGUCCUGAAGCCAAAUGGCUGAAGCUAUUUUAUCACAAAGGCCCAGUUUUUUCCAUGAGUGUACAUUUCAUUUCUUCAGUUAAAGCCUUCAGAAAGACACAAUAAAGUUGGACCAGGGGAUUUGUAAUUGUCAACUAUGUCAGAAGAAAUGAAACAUCUCUUUGAGAACAGCAUUAGACCAUGCCCCCCCAAUCUCAAAUGAUUGAAGUUCAUGAACUAACUGUCUUGAUGGAAUCCCAUCAAGGUCACUGAACCCUGUUUUUUUCUACAUCAAAUCUGUAGUAGCCUACUGAAUGAGAAAGUAGAUACUCUGACCCAUUGGGAUCAAAAGAAGGCACAGUGAAUUCCUCAUAGCAUCUUCUUUGGGAUUACUCAGGAACCAGAACUCUUCACAAAACAUAAGAAAUUCUACUAAGGAAUCCCUUUACCUAAUGGCAUCUCACAAGACUACAGUCAGACUCAAGAAAAGGCCUCUUGAUACAUCAAGAUAGCACCUAUAUGGUAAUCCCCUAUGUUUACCUAGCACUUUACAGUUUCAAAGCACUUUUACAUGUAUUUCAAUAAUCAAAAUAACACAAUAAUGUAUCCCUUUUUUAAAUGAGGGAACCCGAAUUUAAGAGGUAAAGCAGUUAACCAAGGUGACUCAGCUACAAAAUGAUAGAGGCCAAGCCUUCUGACUCCCAGUCCAGUAUUGUCCUUGGCAUUAACUUACCCACAGUGUUAUAAUGGCUGGAGAUAGGGAAUUAAAAGUUUUCAGCUUGAUCUGGUGACCCCUUGAGGAUAUUUUAUGUAUAAUCAUGUGAUUGGUCCACUUAGAUCAGAAUUACAUGGCAGUAUCCCUAGGGUAGAGAAGCAAACUGUCUAUGGUGGUAGAUUGUCCAGUCAAAAAAAGCAUGUUUUCAUCAGUAACAAGAUUGCCCAAUGUGAAACAGAAAGCAACUUAUAGCUCUUCAGUCCAUUUUUUAUGAUCUUCUUGAGAAGAUCAUAAAAAAUGGCCUAAUUGGUUAGGAAUCUUGUUCAUAUCAUGUCUUUUUGUUGUUUAAUACUAAUAGACACAGGGAACUUAUUUAUAGUCCUCUGUCCCCAAACUAAUAUUUACAAUAUGAGCAAAUUUUUUUCCUCUGUAUAUGGUAGAUAAGUAUCUCGUAGAACUUCUAAUUCUGUAAGAUGUAUCCCUUCCUACAAUGCAGUGUAAAAUAUUAAAGGAGCUCAAAAGACUUGGCAGCAAAGAGGUCCAUUUAAUUCUUUUGCCCAUUAUGUCCUGAGUUUAAUCAAACAGGGUUUUGUUUUGUUUUUUGGCAGCAUUCCUUUUAAUGGAAUGAAAAAUUGCUUUAGAGCAGUAUAACCAGGGCUUCCUGAUUACCAACAAAUUGACCUAGAGACCCAUAAUAAACAUAGUAUCUUUUGAAAACCGUA